rnacentral:rRNA from 1 species
UAGGGAAUCUUCGGCAAUGGGCGAAAGCCUGACCGAGCAACGCCGCGUGAGCGAUGAAGGCCUUCGGGUCGUAAAGCUCUGUUGUUAAGGAAGAACAAGUACGAGAGUAACUGCUCGUACCUUGACGGUACUUAACGAGAAAGCCACGGCUAACUACGUGCCAGCAGCCGCGGUAAUACGUAGGUGGCGAGCGUUAUCCGGAAUUAUUGGGCGUAAAGCGCGCGCAGGCGGUUUCUUAAGUCUGAUGUGAAAGCCCACGGCUCAACCGUGGAGGGUCAUUGGAAACUGGGAAACUUGAGUGCAGAAGAGGAAAGCGGAAUUCCACGUGUAGCGGUGAAAUGCGUAGAGAUGUGGAGGAACACCAGUGGCGAGGCGGCUUCUGGUCUGUAACUGACGCUGAGGCGCGAAGCGUGGGGAGGCAACAGGAUUAGAUACCUGGUAGUCCACGCCGUAAACGAUGAGUGCUAGGUGUUGGGGGGUUCCGACCC